rnacentral:rRNA from 1 species
CCUUUGACGUUAGCGGCGGACGGGUGAGUAACACGUGGGUAACCUACCUAUAAGACUGGGAUAACUUAGGGAAACCGGAGCUAAUACCGGAUAAUAUUUCGAACCGCAUGGUUCGAUAGUGAAAGGUGGUUUUGCUAUCACUUAUAGAUGGACCCGCGCCGUAUUAGCUAGUUGGUAAGGUAACGGCUUACCAAGGCGACGAUACGUAGCCGACCUGAGAGGGUGAUCGGCCACACUGGAACUGAGACACGGUCCAGACUCCUACGGGAGGCAGCAGCA